UCUGCAGGUUGAUAUUUAAGUCUUUUGUUAAACCUCCGGGCUCAACCCGGAAUCUGCAAAGGAAACUAUUUAUCUUGAGUAUGGUAGGGGUAAAGGGAAUUUCCAGUGGAGCGGCGAAAUGCGUAGAUAUUGGAAAGAACACCAACAGCGAAGGCACUUUACUGGGCCAGUACUGACACUCAGAGACGAAAGCUAGGGGAGCAAACA
rnacentral:rRNA from 1 species